UGACGAAAACUACGCACUCGCAGCUUAACUAAAAGCUACGGCGAACUUGAUCCCACGCCCAGAGGGUGAAAAGUUCGCUCAAUAACCUGGGCUUCGGAGAUUCACGUGCUCAGAGUGAAAUUCCUAAAUGUUCUGAGCUGGGUUUGAGUUCAGCCGGCCUUCUCGGGCGGGACCAGACCGAGAAAUAAAUCCGAAGGGAAAGCAUGUAGGAGCGAACGGGAACGUGACUUUGGACAGGAGUUCGACUCUCCUCACCUCCAUAA
rnacentral:tmRNA from 1 species